rnacentral:ncRNA from 1 species
AUAAAGUUUAAUUUUGGCUUAGGAAUUUAUUUAAUUUUUUAUUUACAUGUAAGUUUUAGUAGGAAUUUAAAUUGAAUUUUAAUAGUUUAUUUUAAUUUUUUAUUCGCAGUAUAAAAAUUUAUUAAUUUAAGAAAUUAAGAAUUAUAAAUAAAUUUGAAUAUUAACAAAAUUUGUGCCAGCAGUUGCGGUUAUACAAAAAAUGUAAAUAAGUUUUAUUGAUUUAUAAUUAGAUGAUUUUUGUAGAUAAAUAUUAAAUUUAUAAGGUGAAAUUUUAAAUUUAAAGUAGUUAGAAUAAAGUUAUUGAUAUUAUGAAAUUUGAAAUUUAAACUAGGAUUAGAUACCCUAUUAUUUUAAACGUAAAUUAAAAAUCAAAGUAGUAGUAGUUAGGAUCUUAAAAUUUAAAGAUUUUGGCGGUGUUUUAGUCUAUUCAGAGGAACCUGUUCUAUAAUUGAUAGUCCACAAUAAAUUAUACUUAGUUUUAAGAUUUGUAUAUCGUCGUUAUUAAGUAUUUUAAAAGAAUAUAAAUGUUUAAGAUUUUAAAUUAAAUAGCAUAUCAGAUCAAGGUGCAGUUUAUUAUUAAGAAGAAAUGGGUUACAAUAAAUUUAUUUAUUAUGGAUUUAUAUAUGAAAAUUUAUAAUGAAGGAGGAUUUGAUAGUAAUAAAAUUAAAAUUAAUUUUAUGAUUUAAGCUCUAAAAUGUGUACAUAUCGCCCGUCGCUUUUAUUUUAAGAUAAAAUAAGUCGUAACAAAGUAAAUGUACUGGAAAGUGUAUUUAGAAUGAU